UACGAAGGGGGCGAGCGUUGUUCGGAAUUACUGGGCGUAAAGGGCGCGCAGGCGGCUCUGAAAGUCAGAUGUGAAAGCCCCGGGCUUAACCUGGGAAUUGCAUUUGAUACUCUGGAGCUUGAGUGUGGGAGAGGAGAGUGGAAUUCCCAGUGUAGAGGUGAAAUUCGUAGAUAUUGGGAGGAACACCAGUGGCGAAGGCGACUUCCUGGCCUGUUCUUGACGCUGAGGCGCGAAAGCUAGGGUAGCAAACAGG
rnacentral:rRNA from 1 species